rnacentral:rRNA from 1 species
UACGGAGGGUGCAAGCGUUGAUCGGAAUUACUGGGCGUAAAGCGUGCGCAGGCGGUUGUGCAAGACCGAUGUGAAAUCCCCGGGCUCAACCUGGGAAUGGCAUUGGUGACUGCACGGCUAGAGUGUGUCAGAGGGGGGUAGAAUUCCACGUGUAGCAGUGAAAUGCGUAGAGAUGUGGAGGAAUACCGAUGGCGAAGGCAGCCCCCUGGGAUAACACUGACGCUCAUGCACGAAAGCGUGGGGAGCAAACAGG